rnacentral:rRNA from 1 species
CNNNNNCCUGGNNNUCGGACGACGCUGACGGUGUGCUUUAGGCAUGCAAGUCGAACGAGAAAGCCCUUUGGGGUUAGUAAAGUGGCGAACGGGUGAGUAACACGUGGGCAACCUGCCCCUCGCAGGGGGACAACCGGAGGAAACUCCGGCUAAUACCCCGUACGCUUGUUGGAUCGCAUGGUCCGGCAAGGAAAGGUAGCUUCGGCCAUCCGGCGAGGGAUGGGCCCGCGUUGCAUUAGCUAGUUGGUAGGGUAACGGCCUACCAAGGCUACGAUGCGUAGCUGGUCUGAGAGGAUGAUCAGCCACACUGGGACUGAGACACGGCCCAGACUCCUACGGGAGGCAGCAGCCAGGAAUCUUGGGCAAUGGGCGAAAGCCUGACCCAGCAACACCGUGUGGGUGAUGAAGGCCUUAGGGUCGUAAAGCCCUGUUGAUAGGGACGAAGGGCGAAGGGUUAAUAGCCCGGAGCUUGACGGUACCUUUCGAGGAAGCCCCGGCUAACUACGUGCCAGCAGCCGCGGUAAUACGUAGGGGGCGAGCGUUGUCCGGAAUUAUUGGGCGUGAAGAGCGUGUAGGCGGUUCGGUAAGUCUGCUGUGAAAUCUUGGGGCUCAACCCUGAGCGUGCAGCGGAUACUGCCGGGCUAGAGGGUGGUAGAGGCGAGUGGAAUUCCGAGUGUAGCGGUGAAAUGCGCAGAUAUUCGGAGGAACACCAGUAGCGAAGGCGGCUCGCUGGGCCACACCUGACGCUGAGACGCGAAAGCGUGGGGAGCGAACAGGAUUAGAUACCCUGGUAGUCCACGCCGUAAACGAUGGAUACUGGGUGUGGGGGGAGUCGAAUCCCUCUGUGCCGAAGUUAACGCGUUAAGUAUCCCGCCUGGGGAGUACGGCCGCAAGCUAAAACUCAAAAGAAUUGACGGGGGCCCGCACAAGCAGCGGAGCAUGUUCUUUAA